ensembl:lncRNA
UGGUACAGAAGUUAAACAUAAGAAGACCAGAUAUCCCUGUUCCAGAAUGAAACAUAAGAACCGGGGGAGGCUAUUUCUUCGGUUAUUGUCUGACGCUUUGCUUCGGAUUACCACAGACCUGACUGUGAACACCGUCGACACCCACCUGAGGGAGACGCUGCCUAAGAUCUCAAGGCUGCUUGGUCGUGGUCUUUCUGGCACGUACUCUUCCAAGAUGAGCCGGGAAGUUUAACACUGAUGGAAUGACACCAGGUCUAAGCCGACAAACUUCCAAUUCUUCCUCAACCCAUAGUCUCUGGGAAACCUACAUGGAAUGUUCAGAGGGAGCUGAUGCCACAUCUGGUCCAGCUGAUGGAAGGUCUUGAAGUUCUCUGACUGGCCUCGACUGAAGAUGGUCGUCUCACUGGAUUUAAGGUUCAGAUGCUCAGUAACAAACUCCACCAAUGAGCCAACAGGGAAGCUUUAGGUUUAUUAAAUGUUGCUAUGAAGGUAUCGCUGUUUUUCUUUGUGAAUGCAAUGAGCUCCAACUGAAACUUGACUCCAAGCAUUUACUGGACUGAUUUAAAUAUUAAAAUCCCUCCUUUCUAAUCCUCUGCUGUACGUUCAAACCUGAGGCCUUAAAUAGAAACACACAAGUAUCUGAUUGAAGGAACUUCUGCAGAGUCCUGGUUCCAGAACAUGAUGAUAGAAUUAUAGACAAACUUUAACAAAAGCUGCCUGAGAGUUUACAGGUUUUUAUGUUAGAUUUCUUCAGUAAUUUAAUGAGAGUUAUCAGCAAAAAUCAAGGGUUCAUUUGAUGAACUUCAUUUCCUAAAACAUCCAGAAUUGGAGCUCAUAUCUUUGGCAGCUGUAAAGUUUCUGCUCCUUCAAAGUUCACAACACAAUGAAUGAAUUCCUAAAACACUCUCAAUGCUGGAGAGCGUUUGUGAUGCUGAAGCAGUCAGCAGUUUUUCUGUUUCUUCUCUGGAGAGGCACAAUGAGGAACAUCUGCAGAGACUGAGAAAGAGUCUCACCACAUCCUGACAUGAGGAAAAAGACUUUAUUGAAGACUUCAAUGAGAAAAACUAUCAGACAGCAGAGGGCUGCAUUCAAGUCUGUAGCUGCUGAAUUCAUGGAUGAAUCAUCUGGCACUAGAGAGGAAGACCAUCAAACAUCCACGUCAGCUGAUGGAGGUCCAAGAGUCUCACCCAACAAACAACCUACAGAGUGAAGACCUCCAAUCUGAUUGGACGGCCUCCUAUUCAGCCACAUGUGUGAACAAAUGCCUCUAAGCUGAUUUGUUUUCUAAAAUAAAUCUAGUUUGAGUCCUAA